rnacentral:rRNA from 1 species
GAUGAACGCUGGCGGCGUGCCUAAUACAUGCAAGUCGAGCGAAUGGAUUAAGAGCUUGCUCUUAUGAAGUUAGCGGCGGACGGGUGAGUAACACGUGGGUAACCUGCCCAUAAGACUGGGAUAACUCCGGGAAACCGGGGCUAAUACCGGAUAACAUUUUGAACCGCAUGGUUCGAAAUUGAAAGGCGGCUUCGGCUGUCACUUAUGGAUGGACCCGCGUCGCAUUAGCUAGUUGGUGAGGUAACGGCUCACCAAGGCAACGAUGCGUAGCCGACCUGAGAGGGUGGUAGGCCACCCUGGGACUGAGAAACGGCCCAGACUCCUACGGGAGGCAGCAGUAGGGAAUCUUCCGCAAUGGACGAAAGUCUGACGGAGCAACGCCGCGUGAGUGAUGAAGGCUUUCGGGUCGUAAAACUCUGUUGUUAGGGAAGAACAAGUGCUAGUUGAAUAAGCUGGCACCUUGACGGUACCUAACCAGAAAGCCACGGCUAACUACGUGCCAGCAGCCGCGGUAA